AUUGAACGCUGGCGGCGUGCCUAACACAUGCAAGUCGAGCGGUAACAGGUGUAGCAAUACAUGCUGACGAGCGGCGGACGGGUGAGUAACGCUUGGGAAUCUGCCUGUUAGUGGGGGACGAACCCGGGAAACGUCGGGCGUAAUACCGCAUACGCACUACGGUGGAAAGCCGGGACCGCAAGGCCUGGCGCUAACAGAUGAGCCCAAGUCGGAUUAGCUAGUUGGUAGGGUAACGGCCUACCAAGGCGACGAUCCGUAACUGGUCUGAGAGGACGACCAGUCACACCGGAACUGAGACACGGUCCGGACUCCUACGGGAGGCAGCAGUGGGGAAUAUUGGACAAUGGGCGAAAGCCUGAUCCAGCGACGCCGCGUGGGUGAAGAAGGCC
rnacentral:rRNA from 1 species